rnacentral:rRNA from 1 species
ACKGCUCAGUAACACGUGGACAACCUACCCUAUGGAGGGGGAUAACCCCGGGAAACUGGGGAUAAUACCCCAUAGACUAUAGAUGCUGGAAUGCUUUGUAGUUGAAAGGUCCGCCGCCAUAGGAUGGGUCUGCGGCCGAUUAGGUUGUUGUUGGGGUAACGGCCCAACAAGCCUGUAAUCGGUACGGGUUGUGGGAGCAAGAGCCCGGAGAUGGAUUCUGAGACACGAAUCCAGGCCCUACGGGGCGCAGCAGGCGCGAAAACUUUACAAUGCGGGAAACCGUGAUAAGGGAACUCCGAGUGCCCGUAAAAUCGGGCUGUCCAUCUGUUUAAAUAACAGGUGAAGAAAGGGCCGGGCAAGACCGGUGCCAGCCGCCGCGGUAACACCGGCGGCUCGAGUGGUAACCGUUAUUAUUGGGUCUAAAGGGUCUGUAGCCGGCUGGAUAAGUCUCUUGGGAAAUCCGGCAGCUCAACUGUCGGGCUAUCAGGAGAUACUGUCCGGCUCGAGACCGGGAGAGGUGAGAGGUACUUCAGGGGUAGGGGUGAAAUCUUGUAAUCCUUGAAGGACCACCAGUGGCGAAGGCGUCUCACCAGAACGGAUCUGACGGCAAGGGACGAAAGCUAGGGGCACGAACCGGAUUAGAUACCCGGGUAGUCCUAGCCGUAAACGAUACUCGCUAGGUGCCGGCCACGGUGCGACCGUGGUCGGUGCCGUAGGGAAGCCGUGAAGCGAGCCACCUGGGAAGUACGGCCGCAAGGCUGAAACUUAAAGGAAUUGGCGGGGGAGCAC